CACUCCAGCCUAGGUAACAGAGCAGGACCCCAUCUCAGUCAAUCAAUCAAUCUCAGUGGUUGAACUACCCUUGAUAUGGUUCAGCUCUGUAUCCCCAACCAAAUCUCAUGUCCAAUUGCAAUUCCCAGUGUUGAGGGAGGGACCUGGUGGGAGAUGAUUGGCUCAUGGCGGCUGACGUCCCCCUUGCUGGUCUCGUGAUAGUGAGUGAGCGCUCAUGGGAUCUGGUUGUUUAGAAGCAUGCAGCACCUCCUGCUUCACUCUCUCUGUCUCUCCUGCUCCACCAUGGCCAGAAACGUGCCUGCUUCCCCUUCGCCUUCUGCCGUGAUUGUCAGUUUCUUGAGGGCUCCCCAGCCAUGCUUCCUGUACAGCCUGCAAAACUGCAUGGGGUUUCUCUCUGUUACCAAAG
rnacentral:lncRNA from 1 species